rnacentral:rRNA from 1 species
UGGGGUAUUUUGGACAAUGGGGGAAACCCUGAUCCAGCCAUCCCGCGUGUGCGAUGAAGGCCUUCGGGUUGUAAAGCACUUUUGGCAGGAAAGAAACGUCAUGGGUUAAUACCCCGUGAAACUGACGGUACCUGCAGAAUAAGCACCGGCUAACUACGUGCCAGCAGCCGCGGUAAUACGUAGGGUGCAAGCGUUAAUCGGAAUUACUGGGCGUAAAGCGUGCGCAGGCGGUUUGGAAAGAAAGAUGUGAAAUCCCAGAGCUCAACUUUGGAACUGCAUUUUUAACUACCGGGCUAGAGUGUGUCAGAGGGAGGUGGAAUUCCGCGUGUAGCAGUGAAAUGCGUAGAUAUGCGGAGGAACACCGAUGGCGAAGGCAGCCUCCUGGGAUAACACUGACGCUCAUGCACGAAAGCGUGGGGAGCAAACAGG